rnacentral:rRNA from 1 species
AGUCCUGAUACUGAGCUACUUUCCCAGAAGGCCCCCCUUCAAGUAUCAUUGCCGCUGUAGCGUUUAACAACCAAGUUCGAGAUGGAUAUUGGAGUGGGUCCACUACGCUAUAAGUAUCA